rnacentral:rRNA from 1 species
CCUACGGGAGGCAGCAGUGAGGAAUAUUGGUCAAUGGCCGUAAGCCUGAACCAGCCAAGUCGCGUGAAGGAAGAAGGCCCUAUGGUUUGUAAACCUCUUUUAUAGGGGAAUAAAGGUAUCCACGUGUGGAUAUUUGCAUGUACCCUAUGAAUAAGCAUCGGCUAACUCCGUGCCAGCAGCCGCGGUAAUGCGGAGGAUGCGAGCGUUAUCCGGAUUUAUUGGGUUUAAAGGGUGCGUAGGUUGUUUUUUAAGUCAGCGGUGAAAGUUUGUGGCUCAACCAUAAAAUUGCCGUUGAAACUGGAAGACUUGAGUGUGUUUGAGGUAGGCGGAAUGCGUGGUGUAGCGGUGAAAUGCAUAGAGAUCACGCAGAACUCCGAUUGCGAAGGCAGCUUACUAAGCCAUAACUGACACUGAAGCACGAAAGCGUGGGGAUCAAACAGGAUUAGAUACCCGAGUAGUC